AUUGAACGCUGGCGGCAGGCCUAACACAUGCAAGUCGAACGAGUGGCGGACGGGUGAGUAAUGGCUGGGAAACUGACUGAGGGAGGGGGAUAACUAAUGGAAACGGUAGCUAAUACCGAAUAACAUAAGAUGGGCCGAGAUGGGAUUAGCUAGUGGGUGGGGUAAAGGCCCACCAAGGCGACGAUCCCUAGCUGGUCUGAGAGGACGAACAGCCACACUGGAACUGAGACACGGUCCCGCCUCCUACGUGAGGCAGCAGUGUGGAAUAGUGCACAAUGGGCUCAAGCCUGAUGCAGCCAUGCCGCGUGUAUGAAGAAGGCCUUCGGGUUGUAAAGUACUUUCAGCUGGGAGGCGUUACCCGCAGAAGAAGCACCGGCUAACUCCGUGCCAGCAGCCGCGGUAAUUC
rnacentral:rRNA from 1 species